UCUGCAUAUAGAUCUAGAUCUAGGGCCUAUAUGAAAAAUAAAUUUAGACUUUAGAUCUUGAAAGAAUAAACAGUGUGAAUAUAAUCUUAACUUAUUUUAAAUUCAGUAUAUUAUAGUGACCAUUACUGGCUUCUCCUCCAUCCUCUUCUAAAGUCCCAUUACUGGCACCACAAUAAGAGGAGUUUGUAUUGGCAGAUGAUGUGUCAUCUUCUUCAUCAUCAUCUAAUGGCUCUUCUUCCCAGUCAUCUAGUGAUUCAGGAGUUUCUAUGAACAGCUAACAACAUUGGAUGGCCAAAUAAAGGCUGACUGGAUACUGAAUUGCGAUCAGGUGCACCAUUUCUGCAAACAUAUUUUACAUUAUUUUCAGAAACAAUUCACGAAACAAUAAUGUGCUAUUAAUUUUAAAUACUGAUGCCAUUCCAUUUUUGAAAAUGAAACCAUUGCUUUACUUACUUUUUAUCUCUAAGGUAGAUUGGCAGUACCAUAGUAUCUUCAACAUUACUGCUAGGUAUCUCAUAACUGAAAAACAAGACUCAUAAUUAGUACUAAAUAAAAAUGAAAAAGACACGUUACUGUGGAUACUACAAAAGUCUGAUAAAAAAAAGGCCCUAAACUGCCAAUCUUAAACUGAGAUUAUUUAAUUAUCUCUCUGUGUCCAUUGUCGCACAAGGCUACCAGAGGUUAUAUAAUGGUCACUAUUGCUUAAUCUCUAAAAAUAAAAAAUGUACAAGCUUAUUAAAUAAAAACAUACACAAAUAUGUCAUCUCUGUCCAAUAUAUUAUUUACUC